rnacentral:lncRNA from 1 species
GCGGUGACGAUUGUAGUAGGUAUAAUUGAAAUUAUCAAAACAUUUAGACAAAGACUGCAAAAUUUACUAGACCGACUAGGAAACCCUCCUGUUGCACAAGAUAAUCAAUAAGUUGUCAAAACCAACCCAUUGCUCCAUUGCUUGCUCAAAAUCAACAAAUACUUCCCCAGAAUCUACCAGCUGUCAAUGUGAUGCCAGUACUGAGAAGAUCACAAAGACAAAUUAAACCUGUUAUAAGACUUCACUUGUAGUCAUAUUAUCUUCAUGUGUAAUUUUUUUAAUUAAUUU